rnacentral:tRNA from 2 species
GCCUGGCUAGCUCAGUCGGUAGAGCAUGAGACUCUUAAUGUCAGGGUCGUGGGCUCGAGCCCCACGUUGGGCA